UAACACAAUUUUGCGGUGUUAAUAUAAUUCAAAGUGUGCGAAAUUGAACGACGACCUUUUUCUGAAUGUAUGUGGUAAUGAUAACCGCUAAUAUAUAAAUUCUUUAUAGAGUAAUCAGCAUAACGUAAGAUUCUCACAUGAUUUAAGGUGUAGGUAUAUCUUAAAUCGUGAACACACAUCUUGGAAAGUAAGUAGGUAUCUAUUAACAUUUUUCGGAAUUAAU